UGGGGAAUAUUGCACAAUGGGCGCAAGCCUGAUGCAGCAACGCCGCGUGAACGAUGAAGGUCUUCGGAUCGUAAAGUUCUGUUGCAUGGGAAGAUAAUGACGGUACCCUGUGAGGAAGCCCCGGCUAACUACGUGCCAGCAGCCGCGGUAAUACGUAGGGGGCUAGCGUUAUCCGGAUUUACUGGGCGUAAAGGGUGCGUAGGUGGUCUUUCAAGUCGGUGGUUAAAGGCUACGGCUCAACCGUAGUUAGCCUCCGAAACUGGAAGACUUGAGUGCAGAAGGGGAGAGUGGAAGUCCAUGUGUAGCGGUGAAAUGCGUAGAUAUAUGGAGGAACACCGGUGGCGAAAGCGGCUCUCUGGUCUGUAACUGACGCUGAGGCUCGAAAGCGUGGGGAGCGAACAGG
rnacentral:rRNA from 1 species